CUCGAAUUUUGAUCAAUUCGGCAUCUUGACGGCUUUCUUCUUU
rnacentral:tRNA from 1 species